AUUGAACGCUGGCGGCAGGCCUAACACAUGCACGUCGAACGAGUGGCGGACGGGUGAGUAAUGUCUGGGAAACUGCCUGAUGGAGGGGGAUAACUACUGGAAACGGUAGCUAAUACCACAUACCCUCAGAUGUGCCCAGAUGGGAUUAGCUUGUUGGGGGGGUAACGGCGCACCAAGGCGACGCUCCCUAGCUGGUCUGAGAGGAGAACCAGCCAAUCGGGAUCUGAGACACGGUCCAGACUCCUACGGGAGGCAGCAGUGGGGAAUAUUGCACAAUGGGCGCAAGCCUGAUGCAGCCAUGCCGCGUGUAUGAAGAAGGCCUUCGGGUUGUAAAGUACUUUCAGCGGGGAGGCGUUACCCGCAGAAGAAGCACCGGCUAACUCCGUGCCAGCAGCCGCGGUAAUC
rnacentral:rRNA from 1 species